GACGAACGCUGGCGGCGUGCCUAAUACAUGCAAGUAGAACGCUGAAGAGAGGAGCUUGCUCUUCUUGGAUGAGUUGCGAACGGGUGAGUAACGCGUAGGUAACCUGCCUUGUAGCGGGGGAUAACUAUUGGAAACGAUAGCUAAUACCGCAUAACAAUGGAUGACACAUGUCAUUUAUUUGAAAGGGGCAAUUGCUCCACUACAAGAUGGACCUGCGUUGUAUUAGCUAGUAGGUGAGGUAAUGGCUCACCUAGGCGACGAUACAUAGCCGACCUGAGAGGGUGAUCGGCCACACUGGGACUAAGCCACGGCCCAGACUCCUACGGGAGGCAGCAGUAGGGAAUCUUCGGCAAUGGGGGCAACCCUGACCGAGCAACGCGGCGUGAGAGAAGAAGGUUUUCGGAUCGUAAAGCUCUGUUGUAGUCAAGAACGGGUGUGAGAGUGGAAAGUUCACACUGUGACGGUAGCUUACCAGAAAGGGACGGCUAACUACGUG
rnacentral:rRNA from 1 species